UACGAAGGGGGCUAGCGUUGCUCGGAAUUACUGGGCGUAAAGCGCACGUAGGCGGCUUUCUAAGUCGGGGGUGAAAUCCUGGAGCUCAACUCCAGAACUGCCUUCGAUACUGGAAAGCUCGAGUCCGGGAGAGGUGAGUGGAACUGCGAGUGUAGAGGUGAAAUUCGUAGAUAUUCGCAAGAACACCAGUGGCGAAGGCGGCGCUCUGGGACGGUACUGACGCUGAGACGCGAAAGCGUGGGGAGCGAACAGG
rnacentral:rRNA from 1 species